CUGUUUUCACACUGCAGGGAUUCGGAAAAAUAGAAAUGACUGAACAGAGGUGCAGGCUACUGAAGAGCAGAUUCUGGUAAUGGUUGGUCAAUGACAAUCGCGGAUGGAGUGAGGGCUGAGGAAGGAGGCUCCGCUGUCUUACCCAGCAGCUUCACCCACCCUGACACUCACCUCACACUCACCGGCUCCAUCUUAUGGUACAAGAGGGAAUCAUGGUCUUUAAUCUUUAAAUGCACAUAUCCUGGUCCAGACCAUUCCCAGGGUGAGCUGUGUGAGAAUGUGAGACAGCGGGACGAUGGGAAUCGAUUCAGAUUCGUGGGGAACCUCAGCAACAAAGAUGCCUCAAUAAUGAUGGAGGGACUGAGCCAGGAGGAUGCUGGUUCCUAUUGGUGUCGUGUGGAGCUCAAUAUCGACAACUUUGGAUCUGGAGAAGGAACACACCUGGAAGUGAAAGGUCCAGAAGGAAGUGGAUGCAAUGCACAAUGAAGCUAUCAUCGAACUGAGUCAAAGCAAGUGGAGUUCGAUGAUCGUGUUAGUUGCCAAAUCUAACGGGAUUCAACAAUUUUGCGUGGGCCAUUGUAAGGUUAAGGCCGUUACAAAAUCAAACUCAGAUCAAUACUAAAAUUGGAGGAUUUUAUAGAGAAACUUGGACAAGCCCCUUACAUCUCAAAGUUGGACUUACUGUUUGGGUAUUGUCAUCCUUUUAUCAGAGAAAGUGAAAUAAAUUUCUGCGUUUGUCACCCCAAAUGGGUUAUGUCAAUUCAAAGUGCUGUCCUUUUGAAUAAAGAACACAUCAGCCACAUUUAAAAGGCUCGUGAACAGAGGUGUGGCUGUGUUAACAAACUGUGCAGUAUAUCUGGAUGAUGCAGUGAUCUUUAGUGAGUCAUGGAAAGAUCACAUGGUACAGUUGGCACACAGUUCUUUGAACGAUUCAGAGAAGCAAAACUGGUAAUAAAAUUAAAGAAAACACAAUUUGCGAAGGCA